GGCUUGGAGAAGGGGCUUUGCACCCUCCGCCGCUCUUUGUCCCUGCGCGGCCCCCGUCCACCGCCCUGCGGCUGCUCUGCGGGCUGUAAAGUUUCUCCCGGUGCAGAAUUCCGGGCUCAGCGACAGCCUGCGCCGAGUGUGAGCACCUGUCGGAGACCCGCCCGUCCGCCGGCCGCGGUGACUGAUUUUGGCUUAGCGGUGAAGAAGCAAAGUAGGAGUGAAGCCAUGCUGCAGGCCACAUGUGGGACUCCUAUCUAUAUGGCCCCUGAAGUUAUCAAUGCCCACGACUAUAGCCAGCAGUGUGACAUUUGGAGCAUAGGCGUCAUAAUGUACAUGUUAUUAUGUGGGGAACCACCCUUUUUGGCAAGCUCAGAAGAGAAGCUUUUUGAGUUAAUAAGAAAAGGAGAACUACAUUUUGAAAAUCCAGUCUGGAAUUCCAUAAGUGACUGUGCUAAAAGUGUUUUGAAACAACUUAUGAAAGUAGAUCCUGCUCACAGAAUCACAGCUAAGGAACUACUAGAUAACCAGUGGUUAACAACGGAGUCUCGCUCUGUCGCCAAGCUGGAGUGCAGUGGUACAAUCUCGGCUCACUGCAACUUCUGCCUCCUGGGUUCAAGCGAUUCUCCUGCCUCAGCCUCCUGAGUAGCUAGGACUAAAGGCAUGCACCACCACGCCCAGCAAAUUUUUGUAUUUUUAGUAGACACAGCUGAUAAUAUUCUUAAAAGAUCACUAUGACUAUUGGGGUUGGGGGGAGUGGCUUGGAAAUAGGGAAUUAGAUAGAUGUUGAAGUA
rnacentral:sRNA from 1 species